GAUGAAGAACGUAGCGAAAUGCGAUAAGUAGUGUGAAUUGCAGAAUUCAGUGAAUCAUCGAAUCUUAGAACGCACAUUGCGCCCCUUGGUAUUCCAUGGGGCAUGCCUGUUCGAGCGUCAUUUGUACCUUCAAGCUUUGCUUGGUGUUGGGUGUUUGUCUCGCCUUUGCGUGUAGACUCGCCUUAAAAUAAUUGGCAGCCGGCGUAUUGAUUUCGGAGCGCAGUACAUCUCGCGCUUUGCACUCAUAACGACAGCGUCCAAAAGUACAUUUUACACUCUUGACCUCGGAUCAGGUAGGGAUACCCGCUGAACUUAAGCAUAUCAAUAAGCGGAGGA
rnacentral:misc_RNA from 1 species